CCUUAUCAAGAGUGGCUGAGGGAAUAGGCCCGAAGACGCCCGGCAACCUAGGUGCUCCUGCGCGCCCCAUGAGUGUGACGAAGGAAGCAGAAAAGGUGCUAAAUCCUACAGGAUUUUCCGAAGGGAAACUUUCCUGAAAGAUGAGG
rnacentral:ncRNA from 1 species